rnacentral:rRNA from 1 species
UACGAAGGGGGCUAGCGUUGCUCGGAAUCACUGGGCGUAAAGCGCACGUAGGCGGAUUGCUAAGUCAGGGGUGAAAUCCUGGAGCUCAACUCCAGAACUGCCUUUGAUACUGGCGAUCUUGAGUCCGGGAGAGGGGAGUGGAACUGCGAGUGUAGAGGUGAAAUUCGUAGAUAUUCGCAAGAACACCAGUGGCGAAGGCGGCUCACUGGCCCGGUACUGACGCUGAGGUGCGAAAGCGUGGGGAGCAAACAGG